rnacentral:lncRNA from 1 species
CUAGAUACGUGAUGGUCGUGCCAGAGUCUAUGAUCAUGCCUCCAGUUCCAUCUUCAGCUAGUUCGAACAUAGACUUUUCCAUAGAAAGACGUUUUGAUCCAACGGUGAUGCCUUGUAGGUCAAGGUAAUAGAACGAGGGCUGUCUAGGGUUUCGUAGCAAGGACGUGGUUUUGAUGAGUUCCCCUUCUGACCUUCCACCGCUUUUCUUGACGAUCUCCGAGGCUAGAGAUCCAAUGAACAGCGAGCUAGACGCUUCGGUAUCAUCAAUGGUGGUUAAACAAUAAGAGAACUUAGUCUCCUUGAGCUGAGUUAUAAGCGAGAGCGGUCCACGACCAAGACCUACAAGACCCGACCCUUGUGAAAACCCGUCUCCUUGGUUCUCAUCACCACACCCAAACCCUAUUCCCGAAACCGAGUUUUCGCCACCGAAAGUGAACGUUUCCAUGGACAAGACCCCUCUUGUGGACGAGUAAUCUCCAUAGGUAUACAAAUACUCACAAGCUCCUCUCUCUUGGUUGCAACUAGACCGAGGCAAGGCUUCACAAAGACCAGAAGAGCAUCCAAUUUUUGAGUAAGAAGAAGACUUUUUCGGGUCGAAAAUAGGAGUUGGUUGGUCGUAACAAUCCGUGCAAGGCUUGCAUUGAGUCCAUAUAAGGUCACUUCCAGUAUCUAAUACAGCCGAGUAUUUAACCGGAGGGUUUCCUAUAGCUAAAUCCAUAAGAAACUCACCGCUUCCGCCAUGAGUAGGUGCUUUAAUGUUGUUAGUAUCAUCAGGACCUGAUGAUUCAGCCAAAACAGCUGCAGCUCCUAACCUGUUUAGCCUGUGGAAUCCACGGUUAAUACCUCUUUGGAUCUUUUGGAUCUUUGUGAGGUUUUUACCGGAAUCCACAUGUUGUAGACUUAAUCGUAAACCGGAUCUUGGAAGGAUUGUUGGAGGAGGAUGGUUGGUUAAUGAUUUUCUUGAUGAUGAAAGAGCGAUGAAACAUGAGAAGAUGAUAAGAAAGAAAGGGAGUAACAAGGAGGAAGAAGAAGUCAUGGUUUGUGUGCCAGUUCCAUCUUCAGCUAGUUCGAACAUAGACUUUUCCAUAGAAAGACGUUUUGAUCCAACGGUGAUGCCUUGUAGGUCAAGGUAAUAGAACGAGGGCUGUCUAGGGUUUCGUAGCAAGGACGUGGUUUUGAUGAGUUCCCCUUCUGACCUUCCACCGCUUUUCUUGACGAUCUCCGAGGCUAGAGAUCCAAUGAACAGCGAGCUAG